rnacentral:misc_RNA from 1 species
AACACUGUUAACCUGCGGUACCUGCGGAAGGAUCAUUAUAGUAUAUGGAAUCUCCAUUCUAUAAACCCACUCUGCGUAUCUUGUAACUGUUGCUUCCAUGGGACUUGGUUCCGCCACACCGGCUUCACGGCUGGUGAGCGCCCAUGGAAGGAGAAACAAAACUCUUCUUUGAAAUGUAGUCAGUCUGAACAAGUCUUUAUAAACGUUAAAACUUUCAACAAUGGAUCUCAGAUCGGAAGA